rnacentral:rRNA from 1 species
AUUGAACGCUGGCGGCAGGCCUAACACAUGCAAGUCGAACGAAGUCUUCGGACUUAGUGGCGGACGGGUGAGUAACACGCGGGAACGUGCCUUUAGGUUCGGAAUAACUCAGGGAAACUUGUGCUAAUACCGAAUGUGCCCCUCGGGGGAAAGAUUUAUCGCCUUUAGAGCGGCCCGCGUCUGAUUAGCUAGUUGGUGAGGUAAAGGCUCACCAAGGCGACGAUCAGUAGCUGGUCUGAGAGGAUGAUCAGCCACAUUGGGACUGAGACACGGCCCAAACUCCUACGGGAGGCAGCAGUGGGGAAUCUUGCGCAAUGGGCGAAAGCCUGACGCAGCCAUGCCGCGUGAAUGAUGAAGGUCUUAGGAUUGUAAAAUUCUUUCACCGGGGACGAUAAUGACGGUACCCGGAGAAGAAGCCCCGGCUAACUUCGUGCCAGCCGCCGCCGUAACAC